rnacentral:rRNA from 1 species
UCUAGUGACAGGUGCUGCAUGGCUGUCCUCAGCUCGUGUCGUGAGAUGUUGGGUUAAGUCCCGUAACGAGCGCAACCCUUGUCCUUAGUUGCCAGCACAUAAUGGUGGGAACUCUAAGGAGACUGCCGGUGACAAACCGGAGGAAGGUGGGGACGACGUCAAGUCAUCAUGGCCCUUACGACCUGGGCUACACACGUGCUACAAUGGCCAGUACAGAGGGCUGCAAGCCCGCGAGGGGGAGCUAAUCUCACAAAGCUGGUCGUAGUCCGGAUCGCAGUCUGCAACUCGCCUGCGUGAAGUUGGAAUCGCAAGUAAUCGUGAAUCAGAAUGUCACGGUGAAUACGUUCCCGGGCCUUGUACACACCGCCC